AGGGCCCGGAGUCACCUCAGCCCAGGACAAGGACAUUCCCACCCAAAAUCCUGGGAUUCUGUAAAGAGACACCUCCGGCACCCAGCCCCACCCAGGGCCCGGAGUCACCUCAGCCCAGGACAAGGACAUUCCUACCCAAAAUCCUGGGAUUCUGGGGAAGGACAUCUCAGCACCUGAUCCAACCAAGUGGCUGGAGUUACCUCAGCCUCAAGAAAACACCUUCCCACCCAAAAUCCUGGGAUUCUCUAAAGACACCUCCAGAACCCGAUCCAACCAAGGGCCUGGUCCUGCCCAGGGUCACCACAGCCUCAGAAAAAGGACACUCCCACCCAAAAUCCUGGGAUCUGUGACAGGGACUGCAGCAACCACAGCUGACCCAACCAUGUGUCUUAUCCUGCUCGGGGUCACCUCAACCCCAGGAAAACACCUUUCCACCCAAAAUCCCAGGAUUCUGUGGCAAGGGCACCUUCAGAACCCAAUCCAAUCAAAGGCAUAGUCCUAUCCAUGGUAAAGCCCCAGGAAAAGGACAUUCCCACCCAAAAUCCUGGGAUUCUGUAAAAGGGACACCUCCAGAACCCAAUCCAACCAAGGGCCUUGAGUCACCUCAAGCCCAGGAAAAGGACAUUCCCAUCCAAAAUCCUGGGAUUCUGUAAAAGGGACACCUCCAGAACCUGAACCAACCAAGGGCCUGGUCCUGCCCAGGGUCACCUCAGCCCCAGGGAAAGGACCCAGGGUGGCUCUAAUCCCAGCGAGGGACAGGAUGAGAGGAAAUGGCCUCGAGUUGCAGCAGGGAAGGUUUAGGCUGGAUAUUGGGAAAAUUCCUCCUGGAAAGGGCUCCCCAGGCCUGGCACAGGCUGGAGUCCCCAACCCCCAGAGGGAUUUCAAAGCUGUGUGGAUGUGGCACGCGGGGACAUGGGCAGUGGUGGCCCUGGCAGUGCUGGGGACGGUUGGACUCCAUGAUCUCCAUGUUCCCAACCAGACCAACUGCACCAUUCCCUGCUCCUGCCCUCUGCUGCCCCUUGGGCCUGGCAGGAGGAGCUCCAGGGGCAACUCCUUGGCAGGAAAAACUGGGCCUUGGGCCUCCAUGAGCUCAGACCCCCUUCCCAACCCCGACUCUGUGUCCCCACCCUUGGCUCAGUGUCCAGCUGUGCCCAGCCCAGGCUCUGUGUCCAGCUGUGCCCACUCCUGUGCCAUGAACAGAGCCUAUCCAGCUGUGCCCAGCCAUGGCCAGCCAAGACUCUGUGCCCAUUCCCGUGCCCAGCCCAGACUCUGUGUCCAGCUGUGCCCAUUCCCGUGCCCAGCCCAGACUCUGUGUCCAGCUGUGCCCAGCCGAGACUCACGGUCCAGCCGUGCCCCCACCCGUGCCCAGCCCAGACUCUGUGUCCAGCUGUGCCCAGCCCAGAUUCACGGUCCAGCCGUGCCCCCUCCCGUGCCCAGCCAAGACUCACAGUCCAGCUGUGCCCAUUCCCGUGCCCAGCCCAGACUCUGUCGUCCAGCUGUGCCCAUUCCCGUGCCCAGCCCAGACUCACGGUCCAGNNGUGCCCGUCGUAGCUGCCCUCCAGGAUGACCUCGGGCCGGCCGCCCACGCCGGUCAUCCUGCGGAAGAGCCCGUAGGAAUUGACCACCUGGAAGCGCUCCACGGCCCCGAACAUCUG
rnacentral:lncRNA from 1 species